CUGUUGUCAUUUCACUUGAAGGACAUUAGCAGCUUCAUCUUUACUGCAUUCUUGGGAAGAAAGGAGAAGAGACAGGACCUAGAAGUUACUCUUCCUUGAAAGGAUGUGUUAAGUGUUAUCUGGCUAAAACAGCUGCAUCAGGAAUGUGUAUGGAAUGAGAGAAGAAAGGAUGAAGCUGACUUUCCUGAAGUGGAAUAGGCCAGCCCAAUGAAAACAGUAAUUCCUCCCAGUAACAGGGGUUUAGGCAAGGUUCACAGAAAUGAUAACUUCAGGAGAGCCUGUGGGAGAGGAUGAAUUCUGCUGCAGCCUUUCUACAUCAAAAAAAGAUCCUUUUCAGCACAAGAUCCUAAUGCUACUACUGAAGUGCAAGUUCUUAUAUCAUCACUGUGGAUGCUUCUUACUUCAGAGAACAAGAGAAAGGAAAUGUUUUGUUCUGCAGAUUUGUUUCUUUAUUUUGAUAUUUAAAUUAAAAUGUUGAAUUUUAUUGUGUGCUUUAUAUCUUCUUUUAAACCCUUCUGAAAUAAAGAGUGUAUUGCUCACUCUGAAUGAGUAAAA
rnacentral:lncRNA from 1 species